rnacentral:lncRNA from 1 species
GCAAGCAUCCGCAUGGAGCCCAGGAGCUCGUUCCCGAGGGCACCAGCGCCCAUCAUACGAAUCGCCAUGCCGCUUGGGAGCCGUUCCUCCUGAGGCUUACCCAGCUCCGAGAUCCCUCCUGCUGUAGCCGCCGCCACCCGAGGGCCUCACCCAACGCCGUAUGGCAAGCCAGGCCAGAGCACCCCUCCUCUACCUCGCUGGAGGUGCGUCGUCCUGCUCAUCCCGUGCAUCCCCCCUCCUAUCUUUGUAGUUUCAACUCUCUCUCACCUCGUUCAUCCCACUGUAUCUCUCCUUCUGCAGGAGCAACAUCAAGCCAUGCCCACCUCUCAGAGCUCGAGUUUAUCUCGUCAUCGUUGUGAAUCGGAUCCCCUCAGCUGGAUACGUCCGUCCCACUCGCCAGCCGCCCGGAGCCCCCAAGACUCGCCGGAGCGAAGCCCUAGCUUGCCUUGCGCCAUCGCCCGUUGACCCGUGACCAGCGCCGUUGCGCUCCCCUGUCGGGGGAUACGGGAACCACCUCGAUCGCGCUCGCGCAUGGGCAGGUCUGCACCUUCGCCAGGGCCAACCGAGUAGGCCCAGAUGCCCAGCCUUGUACCGCAUCAAGCCAGCCCAAUGCUAACCUCCAUCGGUGUUGUUUGCCACUGUAAGGAAGUUGCCUCCAAUAUGAAAUAUUCACAUUUUUGUUUAGAUCCAUUCUGGCCUGUUGAGGCUAUCUAAAAUCGCUGAUGUAGUUUACGACGAGCACAUGAGUAGCCGAGUUGGGUAGCGCAGUUAUUUGCAGGCAAGGGGUCCUGGGUUCGAAUCCGGUGCACCCUCCAUUUUUUUAUUUGUUUUGGUUCUCUUAGUUUCUACCAGCUUGCACGAAUGGUUUACAUAGGACUGAAUCCACCCCAUAUCGCAUGUCUACUUUUAUGUAGUGGUCAUCCUAGUAAGCCAACAUCGUGGAGGUCCAGGGAUCAAAUCCCCAUGGCCUCUCUUUUCUUUUCACCCUAUGUAUUUUUUUUAUUUUGCAUGCAUGUUGCAUCCAUGUCAUAUGAUCUUGUGUUGCUCGUAUCUCUUAGACUGUAGCUCCGUUCACCUGUUAAAUGUCAACCUCUCAACAUUGCUAUGAAAACCUUCAACCUUUCUACAACCCAGCAAACCACUGAUUGGCUAUGUUACCGCUUGCUUAACCAUGUGUUAGCAUUGCUAGUUGCAGGUGGAUUGCUUCCAUGUGAUAACAUGGGUUCCUU